rnacentral:lncRNA from 1 species
GCAAUUGAAUGUAUAUUUUUUUCCGCGAGUACUCAAAUCUUAGCAUUCAAGCUUAAAUAACAGGAAAACGAUGCACUUUGUUAAAUAUAGAUACUAAAGAUUUUAAUAAAGUACUUAAAGGUAACUAUCAAAAAGCUAUAUAAGAAGUCGAUAGCAUCAAAA